rnacentral:rRNA from 1 species
CCUACGGGAGGCAGCAGUGGGGAAUCUUGCGCAAUGGGCGAAAGCCUGACGCAGCGACGCCGCGUGGGGGAUGACGGCCUUCGGGUUGUAAACCUCUUUCGACCGGGACGAAGCGAGAGUGACGGUACCGGUAGAAGAAGCACCGGCUAACUACGUGCCAGCAGCCGCGGUAAUACGUAGGGUGCGAGCGUUGUCCGGAAUUAUUGGGCGUAAAGAGCUCGUAGGCGGUUUGUUGCGUCGGCCGUGAAAACCUGUGGCUUAACUGCGGGCUUGCGGUCGAUACGGGCAGACUUGAGUUCGGUAGGGGAGACUGGAAUUCCUGGUGUAGCGGUGAAAUGCGCAGAUAUCAGGAGGAACACCGGUGGCGAAGGCGGGUCUCUGGGCCGAUACUGACGCUGAGGAGCGAAAGCGUGGGGAGCGAACAGGAUUAGAUACCCCAG